UACGUAGGGGGCGAGCGUUGUCCGAAUUUAUUGGGCGUAAAGCGCGUGUAGGCGGCUCUUUAAGUCAGAUGUGAAAUCCUGCGGCUCAACCGCAGAACUGCAUUUGAUACUGGAGGGCUUGAGUGUGGGAGAGGAAAGUGGAAUUCCAGGUGUAGCGGUGAAAUGCGUAGAUAUCUGGAGGAACACCCGUGGCGAAGGCGGCUUUCUGGCCCACCACUGACGCUGAGACGCGAAAGCUAGGGGAGCGAACGGG
rnacentral:rRNA from 1 species